GCGGGUGUAGUCUAGUGGUUAAUGAUGCGCGCUUCCCAAUCGGGACUAGCGCGAGGUCCGGGGUUCGAACCCCCGUUCCCGCA
rnacentral:tRNA from 1 species